rnacentral:rRNA from 1 species
UGGCUCCAGGACGAACGCUGGCGGCGUGCCUAAUACAUGCAAGUUGAGCGCUGAAGGUUGGUACUUGUACCGACUGGAUGAGCAGCGAACGGGUGAGUAACGCGUGGGGAAUCUGCCUUUGAGCGGGGGACAACAUUUGGAAACGAAUGCUAAUACCGCAUAAAAACUUUAAACACAAGUUUUAAGUUUGAAAGAUGCAAUUGCAUCACUCAAAGAUGAUCCCGCGUUGUAUUAGCUAGUUGGUGAGGUAAAGGCUCACCAAGGCGAUGAUACAUAGCCGACCUGAGAGGGUGAUCGGCCACAUGGACGAGACCCGCC